CCUACGGGAGGCAGCAGUGAGGAAUAUUGGUCAAUGGGCGCGAGCCUGAGCCAGCCAAGUCGCGUGAGGGAUGAAGGUUCUAUGGAUCGUAAACCUCUUUUAUAAGGGAAUAAAGUGUGGGACGUGUCCUAUUUUGUAUGUACCUUAUGAAUAAGGAUUGGCUAACUCCGUGCCAGCAGCCGCGGUAAUACGGAGGAUCCGAGUGUUAUCCGGAUUUAUUGGGUUUAAAGGGUGCGUAGGCGGCCUGUUAAGUCAGCGGUGAAAGUUUGUGGCUCAACCCUAGAAUUGCUGUUGAAACUGGGGGGCUUGAGUAUGUUUGAGGCAGGCGGAAUUCGUGGUGUAGCGGUGAAAUGCUUAGAUAUCACGCAGAACCCCGAUUGCGAAGGCAGCCUGCCAAGCCAUGACUGACGCUGAUGCACGAAAGCGUGGGGAUCAAACAGGAUUAGAUACCCUUGUAGUC
rnacentral:rRNA from 1 species